rnacentral:tRNA from 1 species
GGGCCCGUAGAUCAGUUGGUAGAUCGUCCGCCUUGCACGCGGGAGGCCUCGGGUUCGAAUCCCGACGGGUCCA